GGAAAAGAAAUAAAUAAGAAAGGAUAAGGGUAAUGUCAGGUAUUACCAUUAUUAGUUGUUUGGUUAAUUUAAGAAAAGAAUCACUUAUAACAAAUUGAGGACAGAAGAGGGUAAAUUUUUUGUUACCAUAGGGUUGGGACUUGGGAGAGGUAAUAAAUGGGGGUGGUAAUGGUUACUUUUAAGAAAUGGAUUAUAUUAUCACUCCAUUCAUACCGAACAUGCUCUAAGUGUUGAAAGAAGGGGAAAAAAAGGAAAAAAGUUGGGCUAAAGAGAAAACAUACUACUAUAGUAGCUUUGAUUUGGGCCCAAAUUUACAAGGCCCAGAAGCUGCAAGGAAACAGUAAAAAUAGAAGCAGUAGGCCUUUUAUGUUGGUGUGCCCGCGUGACUAAUGGGCUGCGAAUGCACUCGACUCCAAAUGUUCGGCCCAUCGGGUCGACCGCCGGAUGGGCUUCGUGCGCCCCUACGGCCCUGACAGGCCUUCUUUCGUUUUGGGCUACGUGGCCUAUCUAUUCUAAUAUUUAAUAUCAAGGAGGUUGGAGAGCCACGUGGCCCCUCCUGAAAUUUCAAUAUUUUAUUACAUUUUUUUUUAAUUAAAUGGAAACGCUUGCGAAAGAAAACCGAACAAAAAACCAACCGUUGCUUUCUUCUACAACUCUCUCUCCAACCUUUGCAUCUUUCAUCAAUUCAAGCAGCGAUUAUUUACAAGCUUAAAACAUCCAUUCAAGCAUCAUGAUCUGCAAUAAAACCCAUCAAAUUACGACCAUAAUUUCCAAAAAAGAAAAAAGAUCUGCUUCGAUUUCAUCGCUUCGAUUCAUCUCCGUCAUACUCUCUCCUCUGACACCGCUGCUCAUUAUCAAGUAUGGCGUUCUGUUGGAAUCGUCUCCAUAGCUGUUCGAUUCCUAUUUCUAUGGUGAUGUUAAUUCGGGUUUCGAUUUCCCCAAUUAUGUUUCUAGGUUCAAGGUUCAGAAUGGUGAACAAAUCCAUUCCAAUUCAGCUUCAAGAGCUUCACGAAUUCAUUCCAACAAUCUGUUUUCUUCUAAAAAUUGUCGUUUGGAUUAUUGGAAAAAUUAUCCGGCGAAGGAGAAAUCCAUUUUACUCAAUUCUGGUAGGGUUAUUGUGAUAACGUUACUUAUCUGAGAGGGGAAUUGGGCACUGUAAGGAUCAAUGAGGAGUGGAAAAUCGAUCAUCAAAGUUAGAAUUUAUUUUUCAUGGAGACUUGCUUACCGCAAUGGUAGCUCUAUUUUGUCGCAAUGGUAAAGGCAACUCUGUUUAAUCGCAAUGGUAGAUUACCAGGUGUUCUGGGAAUUUGAUAUAGCUUGCAAUUGAUCUGGGUUGCAACAUUUUCAGAUUAAAAGGAAAAGAAUAAGGCUCGUGGGUGUGGAAUGCAGGACAUCAACAACACAAGGAUAAAAUGCUUUUGUUUCUUAUAUUAAGUGUUGUAAACACAUUGGACAUAUUACUUUAUAGAUUGUAACUAAUCUGUUUAGUUUUAUCUAUAGGUUUGGUAUAAUUUCAAAAAAAAGUAAUUCAAAAACUUAUUUAUGUAUGAUACAAAGGAUUUAGUUUCCAUGUAACUAUUAGACAUAAUAAAAACUCCUGUAAAUUAUACAAAUUAUUAUUCAAUAAAAUGAAUUUUUUUUUAAAAACCACUCCCUAUCUAUGAGUUUAAUUUUUUUAAUUUUCGUCACCCGCCGUCAAAUGCACAAACUUUUAGUGAUAAAUUUA